rnacentral:tRNA from 1 species
GCCCCGCUGGCGGAAUUGGUAGACGCGCCGGACUCAAAAUCCGGUUCCGCAAGGAGUGUCCGUUCGACUCGGACGCGGGGCACCA